UACAGAGGUCUCAAGCGUUGUUCGGAUUCAUUGGGCGUAAAGGGUGCGUAGGCGGCGCGGUAAGUCGGGUGUGAAAUUCGACGGGCUUAACUCCGAAACUGCAUUCGAUACUGCCGUGCUUGAGGACUGGAGAGGAGACUGGAAUUCACGGUGUAGCAGUGAAAUGCGUAGAUAUCGUGAGGAAGACCAGUGGCGAAGGCGGGUCUCUGGACAGUUCCUGACGCUGAGGCGCGAAGGCCAGGGGAGCAAACGGGG
rnacentral:rRNA from 1 species